CCGUGAGGGAAAGGUGAAAAGUACUCCGGAAGGAGAGUGAAAUAGAACCUGAAAUCGUAGGCUUACAAGGUGUCGUAGCUCCAUAUGUGGGUGGCGGCAUGCCUUUUGUAGAAUGAGCCGGCGAGUUACUUUAUGCUGCAAGGUUAAGUCAGUUAAUGCCGAAGCCGAAGCGAAAGCGAGUCUGAAUAGGGCGUUUAAGUAGUAUGGAGUAGACCCGAAGCCUGGUGAUCUAUCCAUGGGCAGGGUGAAGUUCGAGUAAAAUCGAAUGGAGGCCCGAACCGGGUAGUGUUGAAAAACUAUCGGAUGACCUGUGGAUAGGGGUGAAAGGCCAAU
rnacentral:rRNA from 12 species